CUAGGCAUGACAUUGCUCACAUUGCUUCCAGUGUUUUUUUUAUAGCCAGCAUGGGUGCUGGCUUUUUUUU
rnacentral:antisense_RNA from 1 species